rnacentral:rRNA from 1 species
GAUGAACGCUGGCGGCGUGCCUAACACAUGCAAGUCGAGCGGCAAGACGGUGAGAUUGUUCCUUUGCCGUUAGCGGCUGGCGGGUGAGUAACGAGUGGAUCACAUACUUAUAUUUCUGGGAUAAUAUCGGAAGACCGGUGAUAAUACCAGAGCAUAUAUUGUACCGCAGAGUGCAAUGGUGAUAGACGGCUUUUGUGUAUGUUAGAGCUGAUUCCGGGCCGGCUUAGCUAGUUGGUAAGGUAACGGCCUACCAAGGCUACGAUGCGUAGCCGAUCUGAGAGGAUGAUCGGCCACACUGGAACUGAGACACGGUCCAGACUCCUACGGGAGGCAGCAGUAGGGAAUCUUACGCAAUGGGCGCAAGCCUGACGCAGCAAUGCCGCGUGAGUGAUGAAGGUCUUCGGAUCGUAAAGCCCUGUUAUUAGGGAAGAACAGCUGUAGAAUUAACCAUCGCUGUUUUGACGGUACCCAAUCAAAAAGCACCGGCUAACUACGUG